AUUGAACGCUGGCGGCAGGCCUAACACAUGCAAGUCGAGCGAGCGGCGGACGGGUGAGUAAUGUAUGGGGACUGCCAGAUAGAGGGGGAUAACUACUGGAAACGGUGUCUAAUACCUCAUACUGUCGUCUCCACCCUCUGGGAUUAGCUCGUAGGUAAGGUAAUGGCUUACCUAGGCGACGAUCCCUAGCUGGUCUGAGAGGAUGAUCAGCCCCCCUGGGACUGAGACACGGCCCAGACUCCCCCUUAAUCACCAUUUUAAAAUAUUACACAAUGUUCGCAAGCCUGAUUCAGCCAUGCCGCGUGUAUGAAGAAUCCCCUAGGGUUUUAACGUACUUUCAGUCGGGAGGCGGGACCGAAAGAAGAAGCACCGGCUAACUCCGUGCCAGCAGCCGCGGUAAGUC
rnacentral:rRNA from 1 species